rnacentral:rRNA from 1 species
GAGUGAACGCUGGCGGCAGGCCUAACACAUGCAAGUCGAACGGCAGCACAGUGGUAGCAAUACCAUGGGUGGCGAGUGGCGGACGGGUGAGGAAUACAUCGGAAUCUACCUUUUCGUGGGGGAUAACGUAGGGAAACUUACGCUAAUACCGCAUACGACCUUAGGGUGAAAGCGGAGGACCUUCGGGCUUCGCGCGGAUAGAUGAGCCGAUGUCGGAUUAGCUAGUUGGCGGGGUAAAGGCCCACCAAGGCGACGAUCCGUAGCUGGUCUGAGAGGAUGAUCAGCCACACUGGAACUGAGACACGGUCCAGACUCCUACGGGAGGCAGCAGUGGGGAAUAUUGGACAAUGGGCGCAAGCCUGAUCCAGCCAUGCCGCGUGGGUGAAGAAGGCCUUCGGGUUGUAAAGCCCUUUUGUUGGGAAAGAAAAGCAGUCGGUUAAUACCCGAUUGUUCUG